UGAGGUGCAUUAUUUCUAAAAAAAAUAUGAAAUAUUAAAACGCCUCUUGCAAUCAAAGAUUCAGUAAAUGUAUACAAAAUUUAUGUUAAUCACCAUUUUUAAUGAAAUUUUGUUUCUACUACUGGUACAUGAUUUUUUUAGUACAAAACAACCACAUAUGGCUGCUCUUAAAGGUAGACAGCACCAACCCCGAGUUCCAGCGUCUUUGGAUUUCUCAUAACGGUACCGGUAUGUAAGCUUUAUGCAGAUGCAUGACUAAUAUUGACAAUAUACAUUGAAUAUUGAAAUCUGAAAUAUAAGGGAUCCCGAGAAAGGGACCAUAUGUUUUUACUAUAACUGGAAAUUAGGUAUUCUAACUGGGAAGGUAACAAAUAAACGUUGCAACAUACCUCUAGUCAUCCACUUAGACACCCAUGCACAAGAAAUAUUCCUCGGUUUCUGUUAAGUCUAGAAUGUAUAGCAUCCUACAAAUCUGCUUACCCUACCGGAGCACCUGAGACCCCCCCCCCCCCCACGAGUUUUUGGUGGGGUUCGUGUUUCUUUGUCUUUAGUUUGCUAUUUUGUGAUUUAAGAUAUGGCGUUGUCAGUUUAUUUUCGAUCUAUGAGUUUGACUGUCCAUUUGGUAUCUUUCGCCCUCCCCUACAAAAGGAUUCAUAGGAAUUAACGUCUUCUUUCUAAGAGGAUGGAUUGCAACCUUGCAUUCUUUUUUUUUGCAGUCUUCUUUUGAAUAGAUAGAUUAAUCCUCUAAAACCAUUUGAAAAAGGUACAGAGGAGAAAACGAAAUAAUUUAACAUGCAUUGCUUCAGUUGUUACAUGGAGUAAAUUCAUAUAAGACAAUCGAUAACAAAGUAAUAAUAGAAAUAAAAAAACUUAAAAAUAAAUCCAUAAAAAAUGGAAAAUUAACCACUUGAACGAAUAGAAAUUUAUAAUAUAAUUGGCAAGGUACAUGCAUUUAAUGCUUGGCAAAAAUGGAAAUUCUACAUAGUGUUUUUACACCUCUAGAAAAAAGUUAUAAUCCGAGACAGUAUUUCUUUUUUCCCUCUUCUUGUACAACCCAAUUUACAUAUUCACCAUGCUAAUUAUAAACAUAUAAAUCAACAAUCGCAUACACAGUGGUUGAAUUUACAAUUAAACACUCUGUUAACAUAUAUUAAUAUAAUGUAAGAAUAUUUGAAUGCAUAUACAGUUUUUUCUAUCUCAAUUCUACUGUUAAAUAAACAUUACACUUUUUUUUUGGAAAGCCAAAAAGUUAUUUGUAUGAUUCUGUUUGAUUUAGACACACUACCAUCAUUAUCUGAUUGCACAAAUCGAGUAUUGUUCGAUUGAUUCCUAUUUUUGUCACCAUAUUAAAAGUGACUUGAGGAAUAGGGUCCCCUUAUCAAUUGGAAAAUUUCAGCUUUCUUAAAUAAUUUAAUUGAUCAUUUCCCUAAUAUCUUGUUCGUUUAAAAUAAUUCUAUUUGUUAAAUUGUUUGCAAUCUUGGAAAAAAAUGUUAACUAAAAAAUCUAAUUGAUACAAUUGGUACCCCUGUUCUUGCAAAAUAAAGGCAACAGUAGUAUACCGCUGUUCAAAAUUCAUAAAUCGAUAGAGAAAAAACAAAUCCGGGUUACAAACUAAAACUGAGGGAAACGUAUCAAAUAUAAUUUUUGCAAGUUUGUUUUUGUUGUAAUUAACACCUAUGUGAUGCUAUUUAGCUCAUUGAAGCCAUAUUGUUAUUUUCCUCAAGGUUAAUGCAAACAAAUAUUAAUACAUUCAUCUAAAACAAGUUUGUUUUACUAGUAUUCCAUUCCCUUAGUCUUUAAAAUAUUUGUAUGAAAUUAAACUAGAGACAGCCAAUUUCAUGUAUGUCUCAGUUGACAAACUAU
rnacentral:lncRNA from 1 species